GAAAACACAAUGAAGGAGACAGUAAAUAUUUUCAUUAUGACCGCAGAGAGGCGGGGGUUGGUGAAAUCCCGUCAUCAUAGAAAAUAUGGAAAAUCACUCCGGAGUGGCAGACCAAACGGCUUUUGGCCCAGUAGACUCUGUCGUUUGCCCGCGUUAAGGGCCGGCGUCAUUAUUGUGAUGCUUAGAGUGGAUGGCAGUUUUGCCGUCAAAUCAGGUGGUACCGCGAGCCCUUUCGUCCUGUGU
rnacentral:ncRNA from 1 species